UCAAGCCAGUGAUGAUAAAGUUAUCCCUGUCUGAAUUUAACUGAUGAGUCAUGGUAACCUGAGGCUUGA
ensembl:snoRNA